rnacentral:rRNA from 1 species
CCAGACUCCUACGGGAGGCAGCAGUGGGGAAUAUUGCACAAUGGGGGAAACCCUGAUGCAGCGACGCCGCGUGAGUGAAGAAGUAUUUCGGUAUGUAAAGCUCUAUCAGCAGGAACGAGACAAGACGGUACCUGACUAAGAAGCCCCGGCUAACUACGUGCCAGCAGCCGCGGUAAUACGUAGGGGGCAAGCGUUAUCCGGAAUCACUGGGUGUAAAGGGAGCGUAGACGGCUGUGCAAGCCAGAUGUGAAAGCCCGGGGCUCAACCCCGGGACUGCAUUUGGAACUGCGCUGCUAGAGUGUCGGAGAGGCAGGCGGAAUUCCUAGUGUAGCGGUGAAAUGCGUAGAUAUUAGGAGGAACACCAGUGGCGAAGGCGGCCUGCUGGACGAUGACUGACGUUGAGGCUCGAAAGCGUGGGGAGCAAACAGGAUUAGAUACCCGUGUACCC